GUGAACCUACUGUAAGACAACAUCUCCAAGAUGCUAUUGACCACAAGACUAGUACAGGUUAUUAGAAACUGAACAGCACAGGACUUGCAGAACUUGUGAGGGCUUCAGAUGAUACCAGUACUCAAAAGACCUUAGAUGAUGGCAGCUAUAGAUGGACAUACAAACUACCGCCACUGCAAAAAAGAUUCUAAUUUGAAAGAAGUUUAUAAUGCAUGUUCGCUACUCCCAAUUCAGAAGACUGAAUCAGCCUGUGUAUCUGAAUGUUUCUCAUACUCACUCCUCUCUGCCGCGUCUGAAUUUGGGAUUGUCCUUCGCUGUCAGUUAUAAACGUCAAAAUAAAAAAAAGAAAUAAACAUUUGAAAUAUAUCAGUCUG